GUCCGUAGCCGGUUUGGUACAUUCGUGGGUAAAUCAACCAGCUCAACUGGUUGAAUUCUGCGAGGACGGCCAGACUUGGGACCGGGAGAGGUGUGGGGUACUCUCAGGGUAGGGGUAAAAUCCUGUCAUCCUGAGCGGACCACCUGUUGCGAAGGCGCCACACUAGAACGGAUCCGACGGUCAGGGACGAAGCCUAGGGGCACGAACCGGAUUAGAUACCCGGGUAGUCCUAGGUGUAAACGCUGUGGACUUGAUGUUGGGGAUGCUCCGAGCAUUCUCAGUGCCGAAGCGAAGGUGAUAAGUCCACUGCCUGGGAAGUACGGUCGCAAGGCUGAAACUUAAAGGAAU
rnacentral:rRNA from 1 species